rnacentral:rRNA from 1 species
GACGAACGCUGGCGGCGUGCUUAACACAUGCAAGUCGAACGGAAAGGCCCUGCUUUUGUGGGGUGCUCGAGUGGCGAACGGGUGAGUAACACGUGAGUAACCUGCCCUUGACUUUGGGAUAACUUCAGGAAACUGGGGCUAAUACCGGAUAGGAGCUCCUGCUGCAUGGUGGGGGUUGGAAAGUUUCGGCGGUUUGGGAUGGACUCCCGGCUUAUCAGCUUGUUGGUGGGGUAGUGGCUUACCAAGGCUUUGACGGGUAGCCGGCCUGAGAGGGUGACCGGCCACAUUGGGACUGAGAUACGGCCCAGACUCCUACGGGAGGCAGCAGUGGGGAAUAUUGCACAAUGGGCGGAAGCCUGAUGCAGCAACGCCGCGUGCGGGAUGACGGCCUUCGGGUUGUAAACCGCUUUCGCCUGUGACGAAGCGUGAGUGACGGUAAUGGGUAAAGAAGCACCGGCUAACUACGUG